ACGAACGCUGGCGGCAGGCCUAACACAUGCAAGUCGAACGCCGUAGCAAUACGGAGUGGCAGACGGGUGCGUAACACGUGGGAACAUACCCUUUGGUUCGGAAUAACUCAGGGAAACUUGAGCUAAUACCGGAUAAGCCCUUACGGGGAAAGAUUUAUCGCCAAAGGAUUGGCCCGUGUCUGAUUAGCUAGUUGGUGAGGUAACGGCUCACCAAGGCGACGAUCAGUAGCUGGUCUGAGAGGAUGAUCAGCCACACUGGGACUGAGACACGGCCCAGACUCCUACGGGAGGCAGCAGUGGGGAAUAUUGGACAAUGGGCGCAAGCCUGAUCCAGCCAUGCCGCGUGAGUGAUGAAGGCCUUA
rnacentral:rRNA from 1 species